rnacentral:rRNA from 1 species
AUUGAACGCUAGCGGGAUGAUUUACACAUGCAAGUCGAACGAGUGGCGGACGGGUGAGUAAUAUAUCGGAACGUGCACAGUAGCGGGGGCUAACUACACGAAAGAGUGGCUAAUACCGCAUACUAAUGGAGCGGCCGAUAUCGGAUUAGCUAGUUGGUGGGGUAAGGGUUCACCAAGGCAACGAGCCGUAGCUGGUUUGAGAGGACGACCAUCCACACUGGGACUGAGACACGGCCCAGACUCCUACGGGAGGCAGCAGUGGGGAAUUUUGGACAAUGGGGGAAACCCUGAUCCAGCCAUCCCGCGUGUAUGAGAAGGCCUUCGGGUUGUAAAGUACUUUUUGCAGAGAAGCGGUAUCUGCAGAAUAAGCCCCGGCUAACUACGUGCCAGCAGCCGCGGUAAUUC